UACGAAGGAUGCAAGCGUUAUCCGGAUUUAUUGGGUUUAAGGGGUGCGUAGGCGGACUUAUAAGUCAGUGGUGAAAUCUCGUUGCUUAACAACGAACGUGCCAUUGAUACUGUAGGUCUUGAGUACAGAUGCCGUUGGCGGAAUGUGUCAUGUAGCGGUGAAAUGCAUAGAUAUGACACAGAACACCGAUUGCGAAGGCAGCUGACGAAACUGUAACUGACGCUGAGGCACGAAAGCGUGGGGAUCAAACAGG
rnacentral:rRNA from 1 species